rnacentral:rRNA from 1 species
AUGCGCCAGCGGCACGGGUGGUCAGGCCUGAGCAGCGAGCUCUUCUGCCCCCUCCUCAUUGGAUCGGCGGCCAGGGAGGCCAGAUCGUGUGGCACGAGAGAAGGCUCAUGUGUGAGGAAGGGGAGCAGCAACAUGCGUCGAUUGGGGAAGGGAGGAGCAACGGGUGCCACUGAAGGGAGGGGAGCAGCGCCAAGCGCGGAGGGAGGGGAGCACGGGAGCCCCAAGGGAGGCGGAGCAGCGGCAGGUGGCGUGGAGGUUGGAGAUCUUGGUGAGGACGGCGCGACGCGAGGUCAUGGUGGCAUGUGUCGGAGCAGUGGUAGGUGGCGUGUGCAGAAAAUGAGUGACAAGGAUGAUGAGAAUAAAGGGAGUGCAAUGUGGUUAUUGAAGAAGGGCAAGGAAGAGGAAGACACAUGUUAG